AAAACAAGAGGAAAGAGUGGAUGGAUGCUGUCAGGAAAUAUCUGCCUGAUGGUGCUUUCAUUUGCUCAAAGCAUUUUCCCAUCCAUUUCAUUGUUUGCAGUUGGAUUAUCCAGUGGAAAAAACUCACUUUGAAACAUGAACAACCGAAAUAAUUGAACCCUAUGUUUAGUUCUGUGAUCAGUUUUUUCAAAGAAUAUUUGAUAAAGCUUAUACCAAAUAUCUGAUAAGGAUUGUGUCAUUAUUCAUAUAGUUUGAUUAAUUUAAUUAAAUAUCAUGUAUUGAUCUAAAGGGUAAAACAUGUUUUAGACAAGUAAAUUGAUGGAUAUACGUGGUAGAAGAUCGUCAUGAAAAAUUUAGAUUUUAGACAAGUUCUAUUGUGAAAUUGAUGUGAUAGUCAUUUUUAUAAUAAAAAUACGUAUUUUGAUAUUUUU